AUUUUUUSUUAUAAAGAACUUGCUAGAGUACUUAUAACUACAGUUUAAAACUCAAAAAACUUGGCGGCAAGCUUAAUUUUUCAGGGGAGCCUGCUUUUGAAUCGAUAAUCCCCGUUAUACCUUACUUUCUUUAUUUAGUUUGUUUACUGCCGUUUUUGCUAACGCUAAAAGGUUAAAAAAGUUAGCUCAAGAAAUAAUAAUUCUUAUAUCAGGUCAUUGUGCAGCUAAUAAGGAAGUUAAAGUGGGCUACAAUAAGAAUGAUUAUACGGAUUAAAGGUUAAAAAAUCUUUGUGAAGGUGGACUUGAAAGUAAAUUAAUUAUCAGAGAAAAUUUUUGAAUUUCUCUUAAGUUGUG
rnacentral:rRNA from 1 species